CCCUAAAGCAAUGGGCAAAGAGACAUCUUGGUGGUGGUAUUCUUAUAUCAGUCAGUGGCAGAGCAAAUGGCAGUUCUUUGUUCAUCCUAGCUUGAUGUCUUGCUUGGUGGCCGAAGCUGUUUUAUGCCUAGGACACAUAA